rnacentral:rRNA from 1 species
GAUGAACGCUGGCGGCAUGCCUAAUACAUGCAAGUCGAGCGAACAGACGAGGAGCUUGCUCCUCUGACGUUAGCGGCGGACGGGUGAGUAACACGUGGAUAACCUACCUAUAAGACUGGGAUAACUUCGGGAAACCGGAGCUAAUACCGGAUAAUAUAUUGAACCGCAUGGUUCAAUAGUGAAAGACGGUUUUGCUGUCACUUAUAGAUGGAUCCGCGCCGCAUUAGCUAGUUGGUAAGGUAACGGCUUACCAAGGCAACGAUGCGUAGCCGACCUGAGAGGGUGAUCGGCCACACUGGAACUGAGACACGGUCCAGACUCCUACGGGAGGCAGCAGUAGGGAAUCUUCCGCAAUGGGCGAAAGCCUGACGGAGCAACGCCGCGUGAGUGAUGAAGGUCUUCGGAUCGUAAAACUCUGUUAUUAGGGAAGAACAAAUGUGUAAGUAACUAUGCACGUCUUGACGGUACCUAAUCAGGAAGCCACGGCUAACUACGUG